rnacentral:siRNA from 1 species
AAUAGGAUAAAUGGAUGGUCA